rnacentral:rRNA from 1 species
UACGAAGGGGGCUAGCGUUGUUCGGAAUCACUGGGCGUAAAGCGCGCGUAGGCGGAUUGUUAAGUCAGGGGUGAAAUGCCGAGGCUCAACCUCGGAACUGCCUUUGAUACUGGCAAUCUUGAGUCCGGGAGAGGUGAGUGGAACUCCUAGUGUAGAGGUGAAAUUCGUAGAUAUUAGGAAGAACACCAGUGGCGAAGGCGGCUCACUGGCCCGGUACUGACGCUGAUGUGCGAAAGCGUGGGGAGCAAACAGG